UAUCUUACUUUCUGUAUAUGCUGGAUUCAAUGGUGCAAAUGUAGCUCCGAUAAAUAACGUGCUACAUAUCGAUACCAUGCAAUGUGGAUGGUUUUCGGCUGCAACGGAGAUUCUGUCUUCCACGUUGAUUCCAUAAUUUCUCAAAGCGACAGAUAAUAUCGUGCUUUUUUCAAGAAUAUCUUUGCAUGUGUAGUGUUUACCAGUUUGAAUAUCUACCUGUUGCACAAUCUGAUCAGCAUAAGAAUGUAGACAAUUGAACAAAUGUUGUCCCAGAGAUAUGUUUGGUACUUCUGUUAUUGAUGGACCAUGAAGUAUGUUAUCUUGUAUCUUCAUUUUUUUCAGAUGAAGCUACCUAUUAUGCUAUCAGUUUGGUGGGAUUAUACAGGAAUUCUGUACUUUGAA
rnacentral:misc_RNA from 1 species